rnacentral:tRNA from 1 species
GGGGCUGUGGCUCAGUGGUAGAGCACUCACUUAGCACAUGUGAGACACUAUGUUCAAUCCUCAGCACCA